UACGGGGGGGGCAAGCGUUGUUCGGAAUUACUGGGCGUAAAGGGCGCGUAGGCGGCCUACUAAGUCGGACGUGAAAUCCCUCGGCUCAACCGGGGAACUGCGUCCGAUACUGGUGGGCUCGAAUCCGGGAGAGGGAUGUGGAAUUCCAGGUGUAGCGGUGAAAUGCGUAGAUAUCAGGAGGAACACCGGCGGUGUAGACGGCUUUCUGGACCGUAGCUGACGCUGAGACACGAAAGCGUGGGUAGCAAACAGG
rnacentral:rRNA from 1 species